rnacentral:rRNA from 1 species
UCCGGAACUUAGUGCCGACGCUAACGCAUUAAGCACUCCGCCUGGGGAGUACGACCGCAAGGUUGAAACUCAAAGGAAUUGACGGGGGCCCGCACAAGCGGUGGAGCAUGUGGUUUAAUUCGAAGCAACGCGAAGAACCUUACCAGGUCUUGACAUCCCGAUGCCCGCUCUAGAGAUAGAGUUUUUCUUCGGAACAUCGGAGACAGGUGGUGCAUGGUUGUCGUCAGCUCGUGUCGUGAGAUGUUGGGUUAAGUCCCGCAACGAGCGCAACCCUUAUUGUUAGUUGCCAUCAUUAAGUUGGGCACUCUAGCGAGACUGCCGGUAAUAAACCGGAGGAAGGUGGGGAUGACGUCAAAUCAUCAUGCCCCUUAUGACCUGGGCUACACGCGUGCUACAAUGGUUGGUACAACGAGUCGCAAGCCGGUGACGGCAAGCUAAUCUCUGAAAGCCAAUCUCAGUUCGGAUUGUAGGCUGCAACUCGCCUACAUGAAGUCGGAAUCGCUAGUAAUCGCGGAUCAGCACGCCGCGGUGAAUACGUUCCCGGGCCUUGUACACACCGCCCGUCACACCACGAGAGUUUGUAACACCCAAAGUCGGUGAGGUAACCAUUUAUGGGGCCAGCCGCCU